rnacentral:tRNA from 1 species
GCGGGAGUGCCCGAGCGGUUAAGGGGGCGGACUCAAGACCCAUUGAGAGAUCCGCUGGCGAAGGCCAUCCGGGGUCCGAAUCCCCGCUCCCGCA